rnacentral:rRNA from 1 species
AUAGCGUAUAUUAAAGUUGCUGCAGUUAAAAAGCUCGUAGUUGAAUUUCGGGCUCAAUAUGUUGGUCGUGCCUCGGUCCGUACUAGCUUAUUGGUUUCUUCCUUCUGACGAACCAUAAUGUCAUUUAUUUGGUGUUAUGGGAAUCAGGACUGUUACUUUGAAAAAAUUAGAGUGUUUAAAGCAGGCUCAUGCUUGAAUACAUUAGCAUGGAAUAAUGAAAUAGGACGUUUGAUUCUAUUUUGUUGGUUUCUAGGAUCGACGUAAUGAUUAAUAGGGAUAGUUGGGGGCAUUAGUAUUCAAUUGUCAGAGGUGAAAUUCUUGGAUUUAUGAAAGACUAACUUUUG